rnacentral:tRNA from 1 species
UCUCCAGUAGCUCAUUGGUAGAGCAUAUAGCUGUUAACUAUAUGGUAAUUGGUUCGAUUCCAAUCUGGAGAG